rnacentral:tRNA from 1 species
UGGGGAGUCGUACAAUGGCAGUACGCAAGACUCUGGAUCUUGUUAUCGGGGUUCGAAUCCCUGCUCCCCAG